UACAGAGGGGGCAAGCGUUGUUCGGAAUUACUGGGCGUAAAGGGCGCGUAGGCGGCCUUCUAAGUCGAACGUGAAAUCCCCGGGCUCAACCCGGGAACUGCGUCCGAUACUGGAAGGCUUGAAUCCGGGAGAGGGAUGCGGAAUUCCAGGUGUAGCGGUGAAAUGCGUAGAUAUCUGGAGGAACACCGGUGGCGAAGGCGGCAAUCCUGG
rnacentral:rRNA from 1 species